GAUGAACGCUGGCGGCGUGCUUAACACAUGCAAGUCGAACGAUGAAGCCCAGCUUGCUGGGUGGAUUAGUGGCGAACGGGUGAGUAACACGUGAGUAACCUGCCCUUAACUCUGGGAUAAGCCUGGGAAACUGGGUCUAAUACCGGAUAGGAGCGUCCACCGCAUGGUGGGUGUUGGAAAGAUUUAUCGGUUUUGGAUGGACUCGCGGCCUAUCAGCUUGUUGGUGAGGUAAUGGCUCACCAAGGCGACGACGGGUAGCCGGCCUGAGAGGGUGACCGGCCACACUGGGACUGAGACACGGCCCAGACUCCUACGGGAGGCAGCAGUGGGGAAUAUUGCACAAUGGGCGAAAGCCUGAUGCAGCGACGCCGCGUGAGGGAUGACGGCCUUCGGGUUGUAAACCUCUUUCAGUAGGGAAGAAGUGAAAGUGACGGUACCUGCAGAAGAAGCACCGGCUAACUACGUG
rnacentral:rRNA from 1 species